rnacentral:rRNA from 1 species
AUCUUCGGGGGUAGAGCACUGUUUCGGCUAGGGGGUCAUCCCGACUUACCAACCCGAUGCAAACUACGAAUACCGAAGAAUGUUAUCACGGGAGACACACGGCGGGUGCUAACGUCCGUCGUGAAGAGGGAAACAACCCAGACCGCCAGCUAAGGUCCCAAAGUCAUGGUUAAGUGGGAAACGAUGUGGGAAGGCACAGACAGCCAGGAUGUUGGCUUAGAAGCAGCCAUCAUUUAAAGAAAGCGUAAUAGCUCACUGGUCGAGUCGGCCUGCGCGGAAGAUGUAACGGGGCUAAACCAUGCACCGAAGCUGCGGCAGCGACACUAUGUGUUGUUGGGUAGGGGAGCGUUCUGUAAGCCUGCGAAGGUGUGCUGUGAGGCAUGCUGGAGGUAUCAGAAGUGCGAAUGCUGACAUAAGUAACGAUAAAGCGGGUGAAAAGCCCGCUCGCCGGAAGACCAAGGGUUCCUGUCCAACGUUAAUCGGGGCAGGGUGAGUCGACCCCUAAGGCGAGGCCGAAAGGCGUAGUCGAUGGGAAACAGGUUAAUAUUCCUGUACUUGGUGUUACUGCGAAGGGGGGACGGAGAAGGCUAUGUUAGCCGGGCGACGGUUGUC